rnacentral:rRNA from 1 species
AUAGUUUGAUGAUGGCUCAGAACGAACGCUGGCGGCGUGCUUAACACAUGCAAGUCGAACGAGAAAGGUUCUUCGGAACUGAGUAGAGUGGCGCACGGGUGAGUAACGCGUAGAUAACCUGUCCAGGUGAUCGGGAUAGCCCCCCGAAAGGGGGAUUAAUACCGGAUACGCUGAUUUUUCAUAAGGGAGAUCAGGAAGGGUGGCCUCUAUUUAUAAGCUAUCACACAUGGAGGGGUCUGCGUACCAUUAGCUUGUUGGUGGGGUAAUGGCCUACCAAGGCGACGAUGGUUAACGGGUCUGAGAGGAUGAUCCGUCACACUGGCACUGAAACACGGGCCAGACUCCUACGGGAGGCAGCAGUGAGGAAUAUUGCGCAAUGGGGGCAACCCUGACGCAGCGACGCCGCGUGGGUGAGGAAGGCUUUCGGGUCGUAAAGCCCUGUCAGAUGGGAAGAAAUGCUUGAGGGUUAAUAACUUUCAAGCUUGACGGUACCAUCAAAGGAAGCACCGGCUAACUCCGUGCCAGCAGCCGCGGUAAUACGGAGGGUGCAAGCGUUGUUCGGAAUCACUGGGCGUAAAGGGCGCGUAGGCGGCUUGGCAAGUCAGAUGUGAAAGUCCACGGCUUAACCGUGGAAGUGCAUUUGAAACUGCCUGGCUUGAGUAUCAGAGGGGAAGGUGGAAUUCCCGGUGUAGAGGUGAAAUUCGUAGAUAUCGGGAGGAAUACCGGUGGCGAAGGCGACUUUCUGGCUGAAUACUGACGCUGAGGCGCGAAAGCGUGGGGAGCAAAC